rnacentral:rRNA from 1 species
CAGCAGCCACGGGAACACGAAGGGGGCUAGCGUUGUUCGGAUUUACUGGGCGUAAAGCGCACGUAGGCGGAUCGAUCAGUCAGGGGUGAAAUCCCAGAGCUCAACUCUGGAACUGCCUUUGAUACUGUCGAUCUGGAGUAUGGAAGAGGUGAGUGGAAUUCCGAGUGUAGAGGUGAAAUUCGUAGAUAUUCGGAGGAACACCAGUGGCGAAGGCGGCUCACUGGUCCAUUACUGACGCUGAGGCACGAAAGCGUGGGGAGCAAACAGGAUUAGAUACCCCUGUAGUCCCUGUCUCUUAUAC